rnacentral:rRNA from 1 species
ACGAACGUUGGCGGCGUGGAUUAGGCAUGCAAGUCGAACGAAUGUCAGCUUUGUAGCAAUACCGAGCUGGCGGAAGUGGCGAAAGGGGCAGUAAGGCGUGGGUAACCUACCCCGGGGACCGGGAUAGCCAUCCUAACGGAUGGGUAAUACCGGGCGAUGUGGCGAAGUCGCAUGGUUUUGCCAUGAGAUGAAUUUCGCCUCGGGAGGGGCUCACGUGGUAUUAGCUUGUUGGCGGGGUAAUGGCCCACCAAGGCAAAGAUGCCUAGCAGGUGUGAGAGCACGACCUGCGCCACGGGCACUGAGACACUGGCCAGACUCCUACGGGAGGCUGCAGUCGAGGAGCUUCGGCAAUGGGCGCAAGCCUGACCGAGCGACGCCGCGUGCGCGAUGAAGGCCGUCGGGUUGUAAAGCGCUGUCGAGGGGGAGGAAAGCCGCAAGGUCUGACCUAUCCCUGGGGGAAGCACGGGCUAAGUUCGU